rnacentral:rRNA from 1 species
CUACGUGCCAGCAGCCGCGGUAAUACGUAGGUGGCAAGCGUUGUCCGGAAUUAUUGGGCGUAAAGCGCGCGCAGGCGGAUCAGUCAGUCUGUCUUAAAAGUUCGGGGCUUAACCCCGUGAUGGGAUGGAAACUGCUGAUCUAGAGUAUCGGAGAGGAAAGUGGAAUUCCUAGUGUAGCGGUGAAAUGCGUAGAUAUUAGGAAGAACACCAGUGGCGAAGGCGACUUCCUGGACGAAAACUGACGCUGAGGCGCGAAAGCCAGGGGAGCGAACGGGAUUAGAUACCCCGGUAGUCCUGGCCGUAAACGAUGGGUACUAGGUGUAGGAGGUAUCGACCCCUUCUGUGCCGGAGUUAACGCAAUAAGUACCCCGCCUGGGGAGUACGACCGCAAGGUUGAAACUCAAAGGAAUUGACGGGGGCCCGCACAAGCGGUGGAGUAUGUGGUUUAAUUCGACGCAACGCGAAGAACCUUACCAGGUCUUGACAU